rnacentral:rRNA from 1 species
GACGAACGCUGGCGGCGUGCUUAACACAUGCAAGUCGAGCGGUAAGGCCCUUUCGGGGGUACACGAGCGGCGAACGGGUGAGUAACACGUGGGUGACCUGCCCUUAGCUCUGGGAUAAGCCUGGGAAACUGGGUCUAAUACCGGAUAUGACUCCAUGACGCAUGUUGUGGGGUGGAAAGCCUUGUGCGGCUAGGGAUGGGCCCGCGGCCUAUCAGCUUGUUGGUGGGGUAAUGGCCACCAAGGCGACGACGGGUAGCCGGCCUGAGAGGGCGACCGGCCACACUGGGACUGAGACACGGCCCAGACUCCUACGGGAGGCAGCAGUGGGGAAUCUUGCGCAAUGGGCGAAAGCCUGACGCAGCGACGCCGCGUGGGGAUGACGGCCUCGGUUGUAACGUAC